rnacentral:rRNA from 1 species
AGAGUUUGAUCCUGGCUCAGGAUGAACGCUGGCGGUAUGCCUAACACAUGCAAGUCGUACGAGAGUUUUUAACUCUAGUGGCGGACGGGUGAGUAACACGUGAGAAUUUGCCUUUAGGAGGGGGAUAACAAUUGGAAACGAAUGCUAAUACCCCAUAUGCUUUCGAGUGAAAUGAAUUUUUUAUUUGCCUAAAGAGAAGCUCGCGGCUGAUUAGCUUGUUGGUAAGGUAAGAGCUUACCAAGGCGACGAUCAGUAUCUGGUUUGAGAGGACGAUCAGACACACUGGAACUGAGACACGGUCCAGACUCCUACGGGAGGCAGUAGUGGGGAAUUUUCCGCAAUGGGCGAAAGCCUGACGGAGCAAUACCGCGUGAGGGAAGAAUGCCUAUGGGUUGUAAACCUCUUUUUUCAGGGAGGAAUAAAUGACGUGUACCUGAAGAAUAAGCAUCGGCUAACUCCGUGCCAGCAGCCGCGGUAAGACGGAGGAUGCAAGUGUUAUCCGGAAUCACUGGGCGUAAAGCGUCUGUAGGUGGUUUAAUAAGUCAACUGUUAAAUCUUGAGGCUCAACUUCAAAAUCGCAGCUGAAACUAUUAGACUAGAGUAUAGUAGAGGUAAAGGGAAUUUCCAGUGUAGCGGUGAAAUGCGUAGA